AAUAAGUUUAUUUUUUAGUUUUUAGAUAUAAUGUUUUGACUCUUCAUCUUAUUUAAAAUUAUUUUGCGAUUAAUAUUUUUGUUGCUACUAGAUGAUAAAACAUGAAUACUACUCUAUGCGUGACUAAUUUUAUAAGUUUUUCUAUAAAUUUUUCAAAUAAGACGAAUGGUCAAACUUUAGGCACAUAAAUCAAAAAAUAAAGUUAUU
rnacentral:pre_miRNA from 1 species